UUUGGGGCCCUUCAUC
rnacentral:sRNA from 1 species